rnacentral:rRNA from 6 species
ACCUAUACAACUUUCAGCAACGGAUCUCUUGGCUCUCGCAUCGAUGAAGAACGCAGCGAAAUGCGAUAAGUAAUGUGAAUUGCAGAAUUCAGUGAAUCAUCGAAUCUUUGAACGCACCUUGCGCUCCUUGGUAUUCCGAGGAGCAUGCCUGUUUGAGUGUCAUUAAAUUCUCAACCUCACCAACUUU